rnacentral:rRNA from 1 species
CCUACGAGUGGCAGCAGUGAGGAAUAUUGGUCAAUGGGCGGGAGCCUGAACCAGCCAAGUCGCGUGAGGGAAGACGGUCCUAUGGAUUGUAAACCUCUUUAGGCGGGGAGCAAUGCCGGGCACGCGUGCCCGGAGGGAGAGUACCCGCAGACUAAGCAUCGGCUAACUCCGUGCCAGCAGCCGCGGUAAUACGGAGGAUGCGAGCGUUAUCCGGAUUGAUUGGGUUUAAAGGGUGCGUAGGCGGAUUUUUAAGUCAGCGGUAAAAUGUCCGGGCUCAACCCGGGCCGGCCGUUGAAACGGGGGAUCUUGAGUGGGCGAGAAGUAUGCGGAAUGUGUGGUGUAGCGGUGAAAUGCAUAGAUAUCACGCAGAACUCCGAUUGCGAAGGCAGCAUACCGGCGCCCGACUGACGCUGAGGCACGAAAGCGUGGGGAUCGAACAGGAUUAGAUACCCCAGUAGUC